GAAAGACUCUCUGAGCAUUUAUCUGUUUAUUUUGGAAGCGGUACAACUGCCGUUUCAUCGACGGUUUUCUAUCUGGCAUAUCUGGCGCCGCUGAUAACUUGGUAAUGCCAGAGAACGACGAGGUCGUGCCUAUUCAAUUUAGUGAUGUCAAGUGUCAUCGUGUUGUUAUCCAGAUUUCUAACUGCUAUUUUAAAAGAGGUUUGCCUAGCUGAGGUGACUUCUAUGGGAAAAUCCGAAGAUGGUCGCUGAAGCUAAUUUAUAGGAUGGAGAGUCUUUCUUAAAAAAAUAAAGCAGCUGGAUCGGAGUGCGUGCAAUACAAUCACUUCACAAACAUAGAUCGCUCAGCGGAGAUUACGGAUUGUUAAGAAGCUUCUGAGAAAGCGCGUUGGCUAACCGUCCUAAUAAGAAAAAGAAAAGUUGGCACACAUAGAAUGUUCUUGCCGACAGCUUCA